rnacentral:rRNA from 1 species
GAUGAACGCUAGCGGCAGGCCUAAUACAUGCAAGUCGAGGGGUAGAAGAGGCUUGCUUCUUUGAGACCGGCGCACGGGUGCGUAACGCGUAUGCAACCUACCUUCAUCUGGGGGAUAGCCCGGAGAAAUCCGGAUUAAUACCGCAUAAAAUCACAGGAUGGCAUUAUCCAAUGAUCAAACAUUUAUGGGAUGGAGAUGGGCAUGCGUGUCAUUAGCUAGUUGGCGGGGUAACGGCCCACCAAGGCGACGAUGACUAGGGGAUCUGAGAGGAUGGCCCCCCACACUGGUACUGAGACACGGACCAGACUCCUACGGGAGGCAGCAGUAAGGAAUAUUGGUCAAUGGAGGCAACUCUGAACCAGCCAUGCCGCGUGCAGGAAGACUGCCCUAUGGGUUGUAAACUGCUUUUAUUCGGGAAUAAACCUUAUUACGUGUAAUAAGCUGAAGGUACCGUAAGAAUAAGCACCGGCUAACUCCGUGCCAGCCGCCGCAGUAA